UGUGCUUAUUGACGGUCUUGUGCUGAUUAGAUAAAUCCCACAUCAGUACAUAACAUAAAUCAUAAGCUAAAUUGUCGGUGCCACUUUGUCUUUCAAGUUGUUCCUUGUAUUACAUAAGGAUUUGCUAUCCACCUUUGGCAUAAAUUU